rnacentral:other from 1 species
GUCCUGAUGUGUACGUUGCUUACACCUAUAAGUUUUGACCGAACACUUAUAGUUACGGGAGCCCAAGUUUCACUGCCGCGUAAAUGCCUCGUGGGUGUGGACUUACAGAAGCAGUGGACAGGGCACCCACCUGCGGAGAGCGGGUUCAAAACGAAGGCGAUAAACGGCACGAUCGGGACUU